AUUGAACGCUGGCGGCAGGCCUAACACAUGCAAGUCGAGCGGAUGAAGGGAGCUUGCUCCUGGAUUCAGCGGCGGACGGGUGAGUAAUGCCUAGGAAUCUGCCUGGUAGUGGGGGAUAACGUCCGGAAACGGGCGCUAAUACCGCAUACGUCCUGAGGGAGAAAGUGGGGGAUCUUCGGACCUCACGCUAUCAGAUGAGCCUAGGUCGGAUUAGCUAGUUGGUGGGGUAAAGGCCUACCAAGGCGACGAUCCGUAACUGGUCUGAGAGGAUGAUCAGUCACACUGGAACUGAGACACGGUCCAGACUCCUACGGGAGGCAGCAGUGGGGAAUAUUGGACAAUGGGCGAAAGCCUGAUCCAGCCAUGCCGCGUGUGUGAAGAAGGUCUUCGGAUUGUAAAGCACUUUAAGUUGGGAGGAAGGGCAGUAAGUUAAUACCUUGCUGUUUUGACGUUACCACCAGAAUAAGCACCGGCUAACUUCGUG
rnacentral:rRNA from 1 species